CGCGCAGGCGGCUUGAUAAGUCAGGUGUGAAAGUCCACGGCUCAACCGUGGAAGUGCAUCUGAAACUGUCUGGCUUGAGUAUCGGAGAGGAAAGUGGAAUUCCUGGUGUAGAGGUGAAAUUCGUAGAUAUCAGGAGGAACACCGGUGGCGAAGGCGACUUUCUGGACGAAUACUGACGCUGAGGCGCGAAAGCGUGGGAGCAAACA
rnacentral:rRNA from 1 species